rnacentral:lncRNA from 1 species
CUUCUCCAGACCUUGCACCAGCUGGUGUGAUCCCUGCCUCUCAAUUAAGAACUGUGGAAUCAGAACUGAAAAGGAUCCAGCGAAAAUCACAAAGAUUAAGAGAAAAAGACAUAUUAGAUAUUAGAAAUGCAGAGGAAAUAAUGAUGGCAGACAGAAGCAAGGACAGGCCCUCCAGCACUGACUGAGCACCUGCUGCCUAUAGAGCUGUACACUGGAUGUGAAGACAAGCCACAUCCUCGGCCCCAUGGAGCUCUCAGUCUAAUGGAGGAGACAGGAUAUAAGCAAGUCACUUCAAUUCAACUUUGGAAUUGCGUCUACAAAGAAACGAAUGAAGUCCAGUGGGAGCCCAGCAGAAGAGAGACGACGAUUCAAAAAAGAAGGUCAGAAGGCCCCAGAGAAGAAGAGACCUUGGAAUCACGUUGAGAAGAAUGAGAUCUUACAAACAUCGGGGGAAAGCAGAAAUAAUGGGGGAAAUUUUUGCAACUGGGUGUGCCAUUGAGGAGUCCCCUGGGAACUUGGGGUUGGGGAGCUGGUUAACAGAGCACCCACACCAGCUUGGCUGUCUUAGGGUCAUCAGCUUCCUACAUGCUGGAUGGCUGCCUCCACAGCAAGUGUCCCGAGAGAAACUUUUCCAGUCUAAUCUCUGACAUCACACAGCAUCACUAUCCCAAGACUCAAGUGGUUCCCAGCAUGUCUCUAAGGUUGGCCCCCUCUUAUUGGGAGGAAUAUCAAAGACACAUUUUAAAACUGCCAUACAUGUAUUUUCGUGUUUUUCUUUAACAAUCACAACUUAGUGUGUAUUAUCUUAAACUGGCAACCUGGAUCCCCUUCAAGACCCCACAAGUUUGUGAGUUCAUUUUGUA